rnacentral:rRNA from 1 species
ACGGGGGGCCCCGCAACAGGCGGCGGAGCAUGCGGAUUAAUUCGAUGCAACGCGAAGAACCUUACCAAGGCUUGACAUACACCGGUAACGCCCAGAGAUGGGUGCCCCUUUGUGGUCGGUGUACAGGUGGUGCAUGGUUGUCGUCAGCUCGUGUCGUGAGAUGUUGGGUUAAGUCCCGCAACGAGCGCAACCCUCGUCCUAUGUUGCCAGCGGGUCAUGCCGGGGACUCAUGGGAGACUGCCGGGGUCAACUCGGAGGAAGGUGGGGAUGACGUCAAAUCAUCAUGCCCCUUAUGUCUUGGGCUUCACGCAUGCUACAAUGGCCGGUACAAAGGGCUGCGAUACCGCGAGGUGGAGCGAAUCCCAGAAAGCCGGUCUCAGUUCGGAUUGGGGUCUGCAACUCGACCCCAUGAAGUCGGAGUCGCUAGUAAUCGCAGAUCAGCAACGCUGCGGUGAAUACGUUCCCGGGCCUU